rnacentral:rRNA from 1 species
AUAGCGUAUAUUUAAGUUGUUGCAGUUAAAAAGCUCGUAGUUGAAUUUCGGGACCAUCAUGUUGGUCGUGCCUCGGUACGUACUGGCAUUGUUGGUUUCUCCCUUCUGACGAACCAUGAUGUCAUUUAUUUGGUGUCGUGGGAAAUCAGGACUGUUACUUUGAAAAAAUUAGAGUGUUUAAAGCAGGCUCACGCUUGAAUACAUUAGCAUGGAAUAAUGAAAUAGGACGUUUGAUUCUAUUUUGUUGGUUUCUAGGAUCGACGUAAUGAUUAAUAGGGAUAGUUGGGGGCAUUAGUAUUCAAUUGUCAGAGGUGAAAUUCUUGGAUUUAUUGAAGACUAACUACUG